ACACAUCGAGCAGCAGCAGCAGCAGCAGCAGAACGCGGCCCGCCGGCUUGUGUCUCACGCUGCAGAGCGAGUGAAGCCUCCAGCGAUCUGCACUCACGGAGCAGAGGAGCUCAGAGGUCCAGAGGGACCACGAGGUUCCGUCCAGACCAGAGACCAAGAUGGAGGAGGAGGACAGCAGGACGCCGAGCAGCAGCAGCUCGUCCUCCGAUCCAUCGCUGAGCGUGAGCGGCCUGCAGACACAACAACACCUGCUCUCAAGUGUUUCUGUACCCAGCAUGCUCUGCAGCGCUCACAAGCCCCGCCUCCUCCGCUCAGUGCUGAGCGCCAAGCAUCAAACAGGUGAGGACCUUGUUUGUACGACCCC